GAGCCUUGACGUACUACAUGACUUGAGGACCAUUUCUGUGGUGUGCUCCCCUAUGUCUAUGUGUGCAGUGCAGUGUGUGAUGUUUGGUACCAGUGUCAGCUAUAGGUUCAGGUUCAGUCAAGCUGAGCUGCGGUGUUUCUACAUCGUUUGCUCAACGAGAUGAGCAUGGGCCGGGCAAUGUUAACUGUGUUGGCCUUUUGGGAGUUUGAUCGAGUUGGCCUAUGCACAGAUGAUUCGAGUAUGAGAGAACAAACCGUGUCCUGUUUUUACCAAGUUUAUGAAGGCUGGGCUACGUGCUUUGCUCGGUUGUCCUAGGCAUCGUUUAUAGCGCCCGCGCAUGUAUGGAGUAGAUGAGAUAGGGGUUUCACCUGAAAUAGAAGAACGCGGCAGACGACGGCCGGCGUGCGGCGUGACCUCGGCGUUGGGGAGCGGCGGCCGCUGACGGUGAUUCCCUUUUACUACUUUUCUGGACCCGCGGCCGAGAGCGCCAGCGAUAGACCGACGAGCUGCUGCCGCCGCUGCUCUCCGGCCGCCCCCGCGCAG
rnacentral:lncRNA from 1 species